CAGUAGCUAUAUACAAAGUCAAUGUUUAUUUUUAAGAUUAAAAGCAUGUUAGCAAUGAGAGAGCCCUGGGAUUAAAGUUAGGAAAGUGGUGAGUUCGAGGUCAAGUUUAGAUCCUGACUCUUAUUCUAUGUCUCUGGGCAAAUCGUCAAACCUCGCUGAGCUGUUGUUUCUUCAUCUGUAAAGAAAGAGAGCUCCCGCUCUUCAGGCCCACUUCAUAGGAGCUGUUGUCAGGGAAAUAUUCUGUGAAAUGUUAGUUUUCCAUUGUUCAAACUUCUGUAGAAACACGACUUAUUUGUCGAGGAGGCCCCUGUGGAACGUUAAAUAGUCCUGAAAUCACAAUGAACAGAAUCGCAGAAGGCUUGGCUAUCUCGAUGGAAUCCACCCACCAAAAAUAAGCUGGGAGUGAAUAAAUCCUGAAACAAUUUGGAGCAAUUAAGUGCUUUGAUCACUGGAUAAAGACAGAUGUUACCACACAGCAAAUAUCCUGUGACUUGCUGAAAGAAUCAAACUUGCCCCUGCGUCCAGGUAGAACCCAGUGAAGCAGUUUGGCAUCAUACCUUCCAGCAGCAGGACAGGAGACUGAGGGCGAAAUACCUGGAUGAAGAACUCCUGAGAGAAUUACUGGGAGAAGGGAAGAAGGGAAGGGAUUGGGUCUCUCUCUCUCCUUCCUGCUAAUCUCCACCAAUGAACAGGUGAUAAUCUUGGGAAAACCAAAGGGCCAAGGCCUGGAAAUUCCAUCCAUGUGGGUACCUCAGGCAACAGGCUGAUGGCAAAGUCAACAACAUUUGGGAGGGAAGAGGCACCCUGAAGACAACUCCAAUCCACCUAGGAUAGGCGGGAUGCUUCGCACCGGUACAGAGACACCAGCCUUUGGAAGGCAGCACACAGGUAUCUCUCCAAAGGGCGAGUGGGAGAGAGGACUUCCAGUAAUCAGAAGAUGCCACUCUGGCUUAUUAGGAGAAAGAGGUCAUCUUUAGCAUGUCCCAGCAGGAGGUAUCCCUUCCUCACUGAUUCCUGGGACAGCUUCUUGAAUGGCAAGAUUUGUUUGAAGAAGAUGCGAGCAUCGUUGAAACCCAGGAGAGGAGAAGUAGCCUAUUCUUACUCUUCUCAACAUCAUCUGAAAGGCAGAUUUCCUGUGGUCGUGUUUGACAUCUCCACGGAGAUUUUCCCCACACGAGAGAAAGGCAAAUGACUGAGAAAUCCAGAUUUCAACAUCCGACUUGGACUGUGCAUACCCUUUGGUCCAGUGAUUACACAACUAGCCCCAAGUGAUUACGGAGAGCCAUAUCGGUCAAUUAGUGGCUUUUAUUAAUACUUACAUUGUUCCAGGCACAGGGCUAAGUUCAGAAGAGUCAAGAUAACACAGAAAUGUGAUCCUUGAUGUCAAGACACCCCAAUAACAAUGGAGGAGAUCACCGAAAGAGAGCCAGGUGCCUGUAAGAUGUAGAUGAAGGGGAUGUGGAAACAUCUCAGAGGAAAGGCACUGGCAACAAGGGGAAUUGGAGAAAGUCCUAAGGGGAAUGGCAUUUGCGCUGAAUCUUGAAGGAAUCCAGGGAAGACCAGAGAUACAGAUGAGGAGGGUGAACAUUCUAGGCAUAGGGUACAGUCAUCGAGAAGACAUGGAGUCAGGAGAUAGAUAGAUGCAAGAGGACAGAACAUCACCGAGUAUGUGCAAAGUGACAGAAUAUAAGCAGACUGGGAAGGUAGCAACAGACAAGCCACUGAAGGGCUUUAAAUGACAGACUUUAUGAUUGAUCUUGGGUCUAAUGGGAAGCUCCUGGAGGCUAUCGAGUAGGAGUAUGACAUGGUCCCUUACUCAUCCACACUCUCCUCGAAGACUUUCUUCAACAUUGUUUUGGACCCAGAACCCCCCAGUUGCUGCAGCUACAUACUUGCCUUGGUCAGACCACACUUCAGGUUCUGUUAGGGGCACCCUAGUGUGGGAAGAACAUUGACAAGCUAUUCAGCAUCCAGAGGGUGGGUACCGGAAUGGCAAAGGCCCCCAAAAUCUGCCACAGGAAAGGAGGGUGAGGGACUGGGGAGCUUAGUCAGAAGGAAAGAGUCUUUAGGAGGCAGGAAGGUAUGAGAAUUAUUUUCCUGUUUUUGAAGGGUUGUGAUAUUUCAGAGAACUAUACUACUUCUGCAAAAUCCCAGAAGGCAGAACAAGGCACAAGAGGAAGAAAGUGCCAAGUGACUGAUUUUCCUUUAAGGAAGGAAAGCACAAUGAGCAUGAUUCAAAAGUUGGGGGACUGUCUCACAUGCUGGGCUUUCCCCCUCGCUAGAGCAAGGUUGGGGGCAUAUGGGGUGCUCAGGGAGGAGUAAUAUCUUUGGUAUGGAGGGCUUGUCAUGCCCUCUUAGGGCAGCUUUCCAGCCUCUGACCCUCACCUGACACCCAGCUCUCACUUGUGGCUCCCAGUAGCUGCUAGCAUGCGGGAGCAAGCCACACCCCGGGCAACGGCUUCGACAGGCCGGCUAAACCUUGUGAGGAUAGCCAUCCGGUCGUGGUGGACCCCUGGUGAACCAAGGCUUUGCUCACCCAGCAUGUGAAGACUGCUUUGGCCGAACAGACGGAAGAAACCAAUAAGAAGGUUCAAUGGCUGAGAGGGCGACGCAGCAAAGCACUGUGGAGUGCUUAGGAUGUAUUGGAGCACAAAGGACAACACGGCCAUCCAAUGCAGCUGAGGAAGUCUCCAGGUGUAACCACUUUUCGUGCCAAUGGACCCAGGCUUUCAAUGCCGAGAGAGUGGGACUGUCUCUAUGCAUUGACUUUUCCACUUAAAUCUUCAUGCACAAAUAUCUUUGUGCACAAAAACGCACAAAGACAAUCGUCAUCCUCGGUUACCGAGAGACUACUACCAGAGCAAGGUCAAAAUGACCUUGUAAAUUAUAGUUAAGGAAAGAUCCAAAUUCCAAUAUGGUGGGGAUAAGUCGGCCCGGAGUGUCUCUCAGAUUCUCUGGUUUGGUGAUUCUCUUCUGACGAGAAAUCUUUCUGAUGUAUUUAAUGAAAUAAAUCGUAUUUCCUCCAUGAGAAUUCUCCA
rnacentral:lncRNA from 1 species